GCGAGGUCUGGAGUUCUUACC
rnacentral:miRNA from 1 species